rnacentral:rRNA from 1 species
AGUGAACGCUGGCGGUAGGCCUAACACAUGCAAGUCGAACGGCAGCACAGUAAGAGCUUGCUCUUACGGGUGGCGAGUGGCGGACGGGUGAGGAAUACAUCGGAAUCUACUUUUUCGUGGGGGAUAACGUAGGGAAACUUACGCUAAUACCGCAUACGACCUACGGGUGAAAGCAGGGGAUCUUCGGACCUUGCGCGAUUGAAUGAGUCGAUGUCGGAUUAGCUAGUUGGCGGGGUAAAGGCCCACCAAGGCGACGAUCCGUAGCUGGUCUGAGAGGAUGAUCAGCCACACUGGAACUGAGACACGGUCCAGACUCCUACGGGAGGCAGCAGUGGGGAAUAUUGGACAAUGGGCGCAAGCCUGAUCCAGCCAUACCGCGUGGGUGAAGAAGGCCUUCGGGUUGUAAAGCCCUUUUGUUGGGAAAGAAAAGCAGCAGGUUAAUACCCCGCUGUUCUGACGGUACCCAAGGAAUAAGCACCGGCUAACUUCGUG